UUUCAAUUUUUUCUUCCUGUUCCUUUUCCUCUCCCUUUCCCUUCUUAAAGCCACCAAAUAAUUUCUAUCUAUUCUUCCCAAGUACUAGUGUGUGUAACAGUGGAGGGUCUCUGCCAUCAUAAAUGCAAUGCAGGCUUCAGGUCCAAAUGAUUGUUUUGUGUGCCUGUGACUUCCCCAUGGUGGAUCACUGUGCAUGUAGCCAUUACAUACUUGCCUGUUUCUGUAAGCAGAGGAAAAUAAAUGUGCAGAGAAUGACAAAAAAGUUAACCAAAAUGUCAGUAAGCUGAAUUUAAUGAUGUAUUUAAGUUCUUGGGCAACGAGAUGGUAUAAAAGACACUUGAUUUCCACAGCAUGACCUCUGAAAGGACUUGAUUACCUUAUGAAUGUGUGUUCCUUCUUUCUAAUGCAUCUAUUACAUAUUUGUGCAAAUAUUUAUAUAUAUAUUUCACUUGUAUGAAACCUAGGAAGAACAGUAAUUGGUACUCAUAGCAUUUAGUUGAGCACUAACUAUUUUUGUGUUACAAUUCCAACACUGAAUCAGACAAAUGCUGAUUCAGUGCUCCAGGUUCAAAGCUCUGUGACAAGGUCAGAAUGUUGGACUUGAUGAUUACCAAUGUGCUGUUCAGCAUUUCAGGUAAAUUUUAUUGUUCAGAUGAGCAGCCAGGCCUUGGCUGGGUAGGUCUAGCUGACUGUCAGCCAGUUUUGUUUACUUCAAGAUACGCAGAGAACAAAUCUUUUACAGACAGAAUCAGUGAAAACACUGAAUUCAUGGUGGCCUUAUACUAUACAAAUAAUGGUGCUGACAUUUGAAACCAAAUAAUUUAACUCUGUGUAACAGCUGUAGAGGUUUAGUUUUUGAGUGAAGCCACAAGACAGCUACAAGGGAGCUUUGCAGGAUAAUUCAAGCAGUCCUUCAAACACCAUGUCUAGCUCUGUCUUCUACACCAACUUCCUCUGUGAAAAAGUUAGUUUUGUCUCACCAAUACUGUUCAAGGAGCAACUAAUGCUGUUAGAAGUAGAAAAUUAGUAUGAAAUAUUAAUUCUUGUUCUUUGAAGGGGUUGUAAGAGAGACAAAAUAAGUUUAUUAUCUAGUCUUUCUUAAUUUUGUCAACUGCCACAAAGCUCUUUCACUUAAUGUGGCAGAACCUGGAAAAUUCUCCUUGUCUAUUCCAGGUUUACUGUGGCUGAGAACCUCCCCUCACAAACGCAUGUGCAUCAGAAGUCCAGUUACGUGUAGCGUGUUUCUGGUCAAGUGACACCAGCCAGAAGCAGAAUUGAAAAUAUAAAAUGUUUUCUAACAGCCUGUAAUGCAAAUAUAUAUUUUUCCUGUUUGGCUUGGAUUUAGUGUUGUAAAGUCCAAAGACAUUUAAGUAUGCUUCUACUGGUUGCAAUAGAAUUAGCAAUUGCUUGCUGCCAGUAUUGCAGUUGAAGUUCCUUAUAAAUAUUCAUUUAAAUUACCUAGCUUGCUAGUUCAGUAGUUAUCUGUAUACAGCAAGUAGUAUUUCACGUGUGCAGUGGUUGUUUAGUCCCACCUAGUAUUUACGCCUGCAAGAGGCUUAUUGCCCAUGAUGCUGAAUCUGCCAAGAGCUCUUCAGAUACAUCAUUUGUCCUGCUUAAAAUUCAGUAUAAGAUCAAAUAAUAAAGGUCUGUUUUAGCAAACAUCUGCCCAUAGAGAAAACAUUAAAUGACUGUGCUGUCCCCCUUAAUAUCCAUAAUGCUGUAUAUUGUGUGAGAUUGUGAAUGGAAAUUCAAUUUACCUGUUGAUGUUUACACCAGCAGAUGUGUUGAGGAUUUCAGUAUUCAUUACAUCAAGUAAGUAAAUAUUGUUAUUCUAUUUUUCCUAAAGCAGCAUCGGCUGAUAUUGAAUGAUAGCAAAAUAAGUUUUAGUAUUUCUGCAGAAAUUAAUAUAUAUUUCCUCCCAGAAGGCCUCCCCUGACAGUAAAAGGCAAGAAAAACGUUUAAAUGUGCACUUAGGUAUAUUUGCAUGUACCUAUGACUUUGAGAAGCCUAUUUCAACAUCAACACAUUUGGUUGGAGCUCAAUGAUCUUGAAGGUCUCUUCCAACUUAGUCAUUCUGUGAACUCUGUGAACACAAAUUAUAUUCUUCCUAUUUUACAUAUAAGCAUUUACUGACUUUCAGUCUGCUGUACCAGAGGAGGUCCACAGAGAACAAUACUACUCAGCAGGUGCCAGUGAGGACACAAUCUGUGAGCUGAUUUUAUCUGCCUCUCGGAUUUCUGAAGAUGCAGUAUCUCAGAAUGCCAGCAGUCAGUCAAGUUCUUCACUUUUUAAACUAUUACUUGCUCUAGAAGUAAACUUGCUCUUUGAAAGGGAAGUAAACCUCUAGAUGGACUCUGUUACUUCCACAAUAUUGUUUGGUAAGUGGAUUUUUUUAUGGAAUUACUGACAGAGUUUGUCUUCUGCAUGCUGCUUCAUGCAGUCUUUUUUUUUUUUUAAACAAAAUGCAAUAAAGGAAAGAACUAUGAGAAAUCAUGAGGAAUAGGGCAUGAGUAUACACUGCCAAUUUAUAUUUUACAGAUAGUAUAAAAAAAUCCUGCAAAUGUGUGUUGUAUCCCUGACCCAAAUAUAUUUGCAAUUGGUAUUUGGAAAAUAAAGGUCCUUACAGACCAGUACCCGUUGGAUCUCUGAGAGCCACCCUCAGUAAAUUGAGAGUUAGCAGAGAUCAUUGUACUCAUUCUGUAUUGUGCCUUCCAGAGGAAUCUCUAAAGGCUUGAAGAGAAGGCUUGGGAAUUGUAAUUUCAUCCUGUGCUGAAAGGAACUGCUUGCUCUCAGGAAUGAAGUCAAUUCUCAAACAGCAUAAAAGUGCAGAGGAAGAACUGAGGAAUGCUUUUAAUUCAGCUGCAGAAAUAUAUCCAGAGUUAACUGACUGCCAAAAGAAGUCUGGGAGCUCAGCCAUAGGAAAAAUGGAAGAGUAUACCCCACCAUCAGGAAAGCAAACUCUUUAGAUGAAGUGUUCUGAAUGGAAGAUGAAAUGGCACAUGCCAUAAGUGUCUUUCUUGUUAGUAGCACUGCAGAAGCUGUUCCAGCCACUGUGCAGAAAUUGGUGGAGACAUGACAGUCAGACAUGGAGGGAAGAAUACCACUUCAGAAUAAAUAAUGGCAUCAGAUGAAACAUGGAACAAAUAGGGAAAGAAAUGGAAGGAACUUGUACU